GUGCMGUGGCUUCCGCGUCCCUGGGCCCUAUUGGUCCUGCUCCUGCAAGCGGCAGGCCUGGGAAGGAAGAGUUAACCAGAAAUGGAGCGGCGCUGCUCCGGGGCAAGCAGGCUCGCUGCAGAACAGAGCCGCGAUCGUGCGAAGGCAAGUCAUUUCCCGAAACACUGCAGACACACGGCCUCGGGCAGCCUAAAACCUUUGGAGACCAAAAUGGCUCGCAGGGGUUGGAAGUAAUAAGGCAGCUCCGUGGUGCGGUGCGGGGCUGGCUGAGUGAAGUGCGUGCCCCAGUCGCUUUUGAGCAGAGCUCUGUGCCAUCCCUGGGUCCUCGGCAGAAUGAGCCAUGAAAGAACAUGACCUAUUUCCCUCCUGGAAAGUCUGUGAGGAUCCUUGGAGGCGACUYCAAAACUAGGAGCAGCAGAAUCGGCUUCCAYCCAACAAAUGACCCAGCAGCAGUGGGCCAGCAGCCACCGAAAUGACAUCUGUUAACUCUUUGUCAAAUGCCCUCUCCCAUCUCCCAAACAGCUCUGUGGUUAAUUACGACUUGAGCAUCUGACACAAGUCUUUUGAGUGGAGAGA